AGAAAAGUAAGCUAAUUUAAGCUAAUGGGUUCAUAUCCCAUAUAUAGAGUAUUUACUCUCUUUUCUA
rnacentral:tRNA from 1 species